rnacentral:rRNA from 1 species
GAUGAAGGACGUGCUAAUCUGCGAAAAGCGCCGGCGAGGUGAUAUGAACCCUUGACCCGGCGAUGUCCGAAUGGGGAAACCCAGUGUGUUCCGACACACUAUCGUUAACUGAAUACAUAGGUUAACGAGGCGAACCGGGGGAACUGAAACAUCUAAGUACCCCGAGGAAAAGAAAUCAACCGAGAUUCCCCCAGUAGCGGCGAGCGAACGGGGAGCAGCACGGAGUCUGAAUCAGCUUGUGUGUUAGUGGAACGGUCUGGAAAGUCCGACGGUACAGGGUGAUAGUCCCGUACACGAAAAUGCACAUGCUGUGAACUCGAAGAGUAGGGCGGGACACGUGGUAUCCUGUCUGAAUAUGGGGGGACCAUCCUCCAAGGCUAAAUACUCCUGACUGACCGAUAGUGAACCAGUACCGUGAGGGAAAGGCGAAAAGAACCCCGGCGAGGGGAGUGAAAAAGAACCUG